UGCAGUCGAGCGGACAGAUGGGAGCUUGCUCCCUGAUGUCAGCGGCGGACGGGUGAGUAACACGUGGGUAACCUGCCUGUAAGACUGGGAUAACUCCGGGAAACCGGGGCUAAUACCGGAUGCUUGAUUGAACCGCAUGGUUCAAUUAUAAAAGGUGGCUUUCACCUACAACUUACCAAUGGACCCGCGGCGCAUUAGCUAGUUGGUGAGGUAACGGCUCACCAAGGCAACAAUGCGUAACCAACCUGAAAGGGUGAUCGGCCACACGGGGACUGAAACACGGCCCAAACUCCUACGGGAGGCGGCAGUAGGGAAUCUUCCGCAAGGGACAAAAGUCUGACGGACCAGCGCCCCGUGAUUGAUGAAGGUUUUCGGAUCGUAAAACUCUGUUGUUAGGGAAAAACAAGUACCGUUCGAAUAGGGCGGUACCUUGACGGUACCUAACCAGAAAGCCACGGCUAACUACUUGCCAGCAGCCGCGGUAAUACGUAGGUGGCAAGCGUUGUCCGGAAUUAUUGGGCGUAAAGCGCGCGCAGGCGGUUUCUUAAGUCUGAUGUGAAAGCCCCCGGCUCAACCGGGGAGGGUCAUUGGAAACUGGGGAACUUGAGUGCAAAAAAGGAGAGUGGAAUUCCACGUGUAGCGGUGAAAUGCGUAAAAGAUGUGGAGGAACACCGGUGGCGAAGGCGACUCUCUGGUCUGUAACUGACGCUAAGGCGCGAAGCGUGGGGAGCGAACAGGAUUAAAAUACCCUGGUAUCCACGCUUAAACAUAAGUGCUGACUGUUAGAGGGUUUCCGCCCUUUAUGCUGCAGCAAACGC
rnacentral:rRNA from 1 species